AAUCUCUUGUAAACUUGGAGAAACGGGUCUAAUCACCUUACCGAGGCUAUCCAAGUAAAAUACGCCUCUCAUACCUGUGGCGGAGGGUGUCACAGGAAUAUUAAUACUA
ncrna:unclassified sequences PhotoRC-II RNA